rnacentral:misc_RNA from 1 species
GCGCGCUUGAUAAGCGUGAGGUCGGAAGUUCAAGUCUUCCCAGGCCCACCACACUCAUCGAGUGAGCAUUCGUCUUCUGGUUACGGGGCCAUAGCUCAGCUGGGAGAGCGCGUGCUUUGCAAGCAUGAGGUCGUCGGUUCGAUCCCGUCUGGCUCCACCAGAUGGUUUGAUCACUGAGAUCGUGCAUCGUCGUCCGCGAAACAUCACUUCGCAUCCUGCUAGUCUGGAUAGACAGCAAGAUGCGUGUUUUCUGACAUCGUAAAGAGGAGAUCGAUCCGAGUUGGGUCGUGCAGCAGAUUGUUGCGCGAAUCCUUCAUUAUCUCCGGAUCAUUUUCGGCGCUCGACGCUGACCGCAAGGUUGGCUGCGAGUUGUAAAAUGAUCCUUUUAGCGAAGCUUGACCGCCUCGCUAUCGGAACGAUCUUACGAAGCAAGCUGGUCUUUCUAAUCAUUGUCCGGCUGUACGUAGCGUUCAUCGAGGGCGCGCGCCGAAAGGCAAUCGUACAGACAACAUUCUGCCGAGUGUGUGGACAUUGAUAAUGAGAGCAAUCAAGUGCCUUAAGGGUGUUCGGUGGAUGCCUUGGCGCUGAGAGGCGAUGAAGGACGUGCUACGCUGCGAUAAGCCGUGGGGAGCUGCGAAGAAGCU